AUUGAACGCUGGCGGCAUGCCUUACACAUGCAAGUCGAACGGUAACAGGUCUUCGGAUGCUGACGAGUGGCGAACGGGUGAGUAAUACAUCGGAACGUGCCCGAUCGUGGGGGAUAACGAGGCGAAAGCUUUGCUAAUACCGCAUACGAUCUACGGCUGAAAGCGGGGGAUCUUCGGACCUCGCGCGGCCGGAGCGGCCGAUGGCAGAUUAGGUAGUUGGUGGGAUAAAAGCUUACCAAGCCGACGAUCUGUAGCUGGUCUGAGAGGAUGAUCAGCCACACUGGGACUGAGACACGGCCCAGACUCCUACGGGAGGCAGCAGUGGGGAAUUUUGGACAAUGGGCGAAAGCCUGAUCCAGCCAUGCCGCGUGCAGGAUGAAGGCCUUCGGGUUGUAAACUGCUUUUGUACGGAACGAAAAGCCUCUUUCUAAUAAAGAGGGGUCAUGACGGUACCGUAAGAAUAAGCACCGGCUAACUACGUG
rnacentral:rRNA from 1 species